UACGUAGGAUCCAAGCGUUAUCCGGAAUCACUGGGCGUAAAGCGUGCGUAGGCGGCGUGUUAAGUGAGAUGCGAAAUCUUGUGGCUCAACCAUAUAGACUGUGUCUCAUACUGGCAUGCUAGAGAAUGGCAGAGGCAAGUGGAAUUACCGGUGUAGCAGUGAAAUGCGUAGAUAUCAGGAGGAACACCGAUGGCGAAGGCGACUAUCUGGGCCAAUACUGACCGCUGAAGUGCGAAAGCGUGGGGAGCGAACAGG
rnacentral:rRNA from 1 species